rnacentral:rRNA from 1 species
GACGUAGGGCGCGAGCGUUGUCCGGAUUUAUUGGGCGUAAAGAGCUCGUAGGCGGUCUGUCGCGUCUGCUGUGAAAACCUGGGGCUUAACCCCGGGCCUGCAGUGGGUACGGGCAGACUAGAGUGCGGUAGGGGAGACUGGAAUUCCUGGUGUAGCGGUGAAAUGCGCAGAUAUCAGGAGGAACACCGGUGGCGAAGGCGGAUCUCUGGGCCGAUACUGACGCUGAGGAGCGAAAGCGUGGGGAGCGAACAGG